rnacentral:rRNA from 1 species
UACGAGGGGAGCAAGCGUUGUUCGGAUUUACUGGGCGUAAAGGGCGCGUAGGCGGCGUGACAAGUCACUUGUGAAAUCUCCGGGCUUAACUCGGAACGGUCAAGUGAUACUGUCGUGCUAGAGUACAGAAGGGGCAACUGGAAUUCUCGGUGUAGCGGUGAAAUGCGUAGAUAUCGAGAGGAACACCUGCGGCGAAGGCGGGUUGCUGGGCCGACACUGACGCUGAGGAGCGAAAGCGUGGGGAGCGAACAGG